CUCAGCCUGGGGCUGCUGACGGUUCAGGUCCAUUUCAGAGAGAGAGAGAGAGCAACAUGCAUGGGGUGAACCUCAAAAGAGAAAAUCUCUGAGACAGGCUGUCUAGACAUUGCAGAUGUGGACAGAUGUUGGGUCUGUAAUUUAUAACAACGGCCUCCAGAAGGCAAUUCCAAUUUGUUUCGGUAUGAAGAGUUCCAUCCUCAACACUGCAUAAGCCAGAUGUAUUGGCACAUGUCCAUAACCUCAGCAGUGAGGAGCUGGGAGCAGGAAGAUCAGAAAGAGUUCAAGGUUAUCCUCAGUUAUGUAACAAGUGUAAAGCCAGCCUACUAUCUAGGAGAUACUAAAGAUAGAAUACUAGGGCUGGAGAGAUGGCUCAGCAGUUAAGAGCACUGACUGCUCUUCCAAUGGUCCCGAGUUCAAAUCCCAGCAACCACAUGGCAGCUCACAACCAUCCUUAAUGAGAUCUGACUCCCUCUUCUGGAGUGUCUAAAGACAGCUGCAG
rnacentral:lncRNA from 1 species